rnacentral:rRNA from 1 species
UACGUAGGGUGCGAGCGUUGUCCGGAUUUAUUGGGUUUAAAGGGUGCGUAGGUGGCUUAUUAAGUCUUGGGUGAAAGUCUGCAGCUCAACUGUAGGAUUGCCUGCGAUACUGAUAAGCUUGAGUUUGGUUGAGGCAACUGGAAUUGGUGAUGUAGCGGUGAAAUGCAUAGAUAUCACCAGGAACGCCGAUAGCGUAGGCAGGUUGCUAAGCCGAUACUGACACUGAGGCACGAAAGCGUGGGGAUCAAACAGG